CAGCACCUCAAGUGGUCAGGAUGAUUAUUGGGACUAAAGCAUCCGUAGCCGGCGCUGUAAGUUUUCGGUUAAAUCUGUACGCUCAACGUAAGGCUGCCGGGAAUACUGCAGAGCUAGGGAGUGGGAGAGGUAGACGGUACUCGGUAGGAAGGGGUAAAAUCCUUUGAUCUAUUGAUGACCACCUGUGGCGAAGGCGGUCUACCAGAACACGUCCGACGGUGAGGGAUGAAAGCUGGGGGAGCAAACCGGAUUAGAUACCCGAGUAGUCC
rnacentral:rRNA from 1 species